GACCCCCACUUCUCCCAACUAAAUAUUUUUUAAAAUUUAAAAAUAAAUUUUGUACGUCAUAUUACAUAACAUACAUGAUAAAAUAUUGCCAAACACUAUAUGCAGAUGCUUGGACAAGCAAAGUGUUUACUUACUAUGGAGAUGAAAUAUUUUAGUCUACAUAGUGUUUUGUGCUAGCUACCCUCAGAUAGUUAAAAUUAGUCAUUCCUAUGUGGUG
rnacentral:lncRNA from 1 species